GACGAACGCUGGCGGCGUGCUUAACACAUGCAAGUCGAACGGAAAGGCCCUGCUUGUGUGGGGUGCUCGAGGGGCGAACGGGUGAGUAACACGUGAGUAACCUGCCCUUGACUUUGGGGUAACUUCAGGAAACGGGGGCUAAGACCAGAUAGGAUCUCCUGCUGCAUGGUGGGGGUGGGAAAGUUUCGGCGGUUGGGGAUGGACUCGCGGCUUAUCAGCUUGUUGGUGGGGUAGUGGCUUACCAAGGCUUUGACGGGUAGCCGGCCUGAGAGGGUGACCGGCGACAUUGGGCCUGAGAUACGGACCAGACUGCAACGGGAGGCAGCAGUGGCGAAUAUUACCCAAUGGGCGGGAGCCUGAUGCAGAAACGCCGCGUGCGGGAUGACGGCCUUCGGGUUGUAAACCGCUUUAGCCUGUGACGCCGCGUGAGUGACGGUAAUGGGUAAAGAAGCACCGGCUAACUACGUG
rnacentral:rRNA from 1 species